UGCGGCGCUACCUGCAGUCGAACGGUAACAGGAAGCAGCUUGCUGCUUUGCUGACGAGUGGCGGACGGGUGAGUAAUGUCUGGGAAACUGCCCGAUGGAGGGGGAUAACUACUGGAAACGGUAGCUAAUACCGCAUAACGUCGCAAGACCAAAGAGGGGGACCUUCGGGCCUCUUGCCAUCGGAUGUGCCCAGAUGGGAUUAGCUAGUAGGUGGGGUAACGGCUCACCUAGGCGACGAUCCCUAGCUGGUCUGAGAGGAUGACCAGCCACACUGGAACUGAGACACGGUCCAGACUCCUACGGGAGGCAGCAGUGGGGAAUAUUGCACAAUGGGCGCAAGCCUGAUGCAGCCAUGCCGCGUGUAUGAAGAAGGCCUUCGGGUUGUAAAGUACUUUCAGCGGGGAGGAAGGGAGUAAAGUUAAUACCUUUGCUCAUUGACGUUACCCGCAGAAGAAGCACCGGCUAACUCCGUGCCAGCAGCCGCGGUAAUACGGAGGGUGCAAGCGUUAAUCGGAAUUACUGGGCGUAAAGCGCACGCAGGCGGUUUGUUAAGUCAGAUGUGAAAUCCCCGGGCUCAACCUGGGAACUGCAUCUGAUACU
rnacentral:rRNA from 1 species